rnacentral:lncRNA from 1 species
AUGCUCUUGUUCUUGCACCAGAUACAUAUUCAAAGCCCCCAAAUAGGUAUUUGCCUAUUGCGGUGAUCCCCAUAAAUUCGUAAAGCCUUCUGGCUUUCCUGAGUCUACAGCACCCCCAGCCUGCACAGGCUCCUUCUGUGAAGAAUGAUAAUCAACGUUCUACAAAUCACUAGCACGAGAUCCCAGAAGGAACACAGCCCAGUGGAAGACGAUAACGGUGAGGCCCAGUGUGCGUGUGAGCAAGUC